rnacentral:rRNA from 1 species
GGGGAGGUAGUGACGAAAAAUAACAAUACAAGACUCAUAUCCGAGGCCUUGUAAUUGGAAUGAGUACACUUUAAAUCCUUUAACAAGGACCUACUGGAGGGCAAGUCUGGUGCCAGCAGCUGCGGUAAUUCCAGCUCCAGUAGCGUAUAUUAAAGUUGUUGCGGUUAAAACGUUCGUAGUUGAACUUGUGCUCCAUACGGGCAGUACACCUAAAUAUUGGUUUGUACGUUGCUUUAGUUAUGCGAGCGUAUUACCGGUGGAGUUCUUUUAUAUUAUUAAUUCUUUAUGAAUAAUUUUAUAGAGACUCCUUUUUAAACCUGCUUCAGUCCUCUUCACCGAGUGUUGUUGUAGGCCGGUACAAUUACUUUGAACAAAUUAGAGUGCUUAAAGCAGGCUCCAAAUGCCUGAAUACUUUGUGCAUGGAAUAAUGGAAUAAGACCUCUGUUCUACUUUCAUUGGUUUUUAGAUCAAGAGGUAAUGAUUAAUAGAAGCAGUUGGGGGCAUUAGUAUUACGACGCGAGAGGUGAAAUUCUUGGACCGUCGUAAGACUAACUUAAGCGAAAGCAUUUGCCAAAGAUGUUUUCAUUAAUCAAGAACGAAAGUUAGAGGUUCGAAGGCGAUCAGAUACCGCCCUAGUUCUAACCAUAAACGAUGCCAGCUAGCAAUUGGGUGUAGCUACUUCUAUGGCUCUCUCAGUCGCUUCCCGGGAAACCAAAGCUUUUAGGCUCCGGGGGAAGUAUGGUUGCAAAGCUGAAACUUAAAGGAAUUGACGGAAGGGCACCACCAGGAGUGGAGCCUGCGGCUUAAUUUGACUCAACACGGGAAAACUUACCAGGUCCGAACAUAAAUGAGUAAGACAGAUUGAUAGCUCUUUCUCGAAUCUAUGGCUGGUGGUGCAUGGCCGUUCUUAGUUCGUGGAGUGAUUUGUCUGGUUAAUUCCGGUAACGAACGAGACUCAAAUGUAUUAAAUAGAUGCUUUCAGGAUUAUAAUGCUGAAACUUUUCAUAACCUUCAUUCAUGAAUACAGUAAAUGUAUUAGUGUUUGAAUGUGUUUAUGGAAGUGGAGUUAUACCUGUUUGUUUGUCCCAUUAAUACGGACACUAGCUUCUUAAAUGGACAAAUUGCGUCUAGCAAUAAUGAGAUUGAGCAAUAACAGGUCUGUGAUGCCCUUAGAUGUCCUGGGCUGCACGCGCGCUACAAUGAAAGUAUCAACGUGUAUUUCCUAGACCGAGAGGUCCGGGUAAACCGCUGAAUCACUUUCAUGCUUGGGAUUGUGAACUGAAACUGUCCACAUGAACCUGGAAUUCCCAGUAAAUGCGAGUCAUUAACUCGCGUUGAUUAAGUCCCUGCCCUUUGUACACACCGCCCGUCGCUACUACCGAUUGAAUUAUUUAGUGAGGUCUCCGGACGUGAUCGCCGCGACGCUUCGUGUUUUGUGGUUGUUUCGCAAAAGUUGACCGAACUUGAUUAUUUAGAGGAAGUAAAAGUCGUAACAAGG